rnacentral:tRNA from 1 species
GGCUUUAUAGUGGAAAGAGAAAGAUAUUAAAUUGCAAAUUUAAAGAUGUACUAGGUACUGAAGCUU